UACGUAGGGGGCUAGCGUUGUCCGGAAUUAUUGGGCGUAAAGAGCUCGUAGGCGGCCUGUCGCGUCGGCUGUGAAAACCCGGGGCUCAACCCCGGGCCUGCAGUCGAUACGGGCAGGCUAGAGUCCGGCAGGGGAGACUGGAAUUCCUGGUGUAGCGGUGAAAUGCGCAGAUAUCAGGAGGAACACCGGUGGCGAAGGCGGGUCUCUGGGCAGUAACUGACGCUGAGGAGCGAAAGCGUGGGGAGCGAACAGG
rnacentral:rRNA from 1 species